AGUGGGCAAAAUGGUAAUUGUGACAAGGGCCAGAAACUCUUCAUAGUUGUCUUGGCUGUUAGGCAUCACAACAAACCAAACCCUCCUGUUGCUCCCACAACUCCCCCUAGCACCAGCCCUACCUCCCCAUCCCCCAAAUCUCCAUCUCCUCAGUACCCUCAUCACCCUCCUGGGACCUCACCAUCACCAGCAUCAGUGGCUAACCCUCCAGCCACCUCACCAUCACCAGUAGUGGCUAGCCCUCCUGCCACCUCCCCAUCACCAGUGGGCUACCCUCCUGCCACCUCCCCAUCGCCAGUGGGCUACCCUCCUGCCACCUCACCAUCACCAGUGGGCUACCCUCCUGCCACCUCACCAUCACCAGUGGGAUACACUCCUGCCACCUCACCAUCCCCAUCAACAACAACAUCUCCAGCGCUAGCGCCAGGUCCAUCUUCAUCCCUUACACCAUUUCCUUCUCCACCCUCACCGCCCCCCGAGGGGCCCACACCGCCCUCCGAGGGGCCCACACCGGCCCCGUCCGCAGAGUCUGCGGGCCCCACACCACCGGGAACCGUUUCUCCGCCGCCCGGGACAGCGGACUCGACGGCUCCGAGACCGGCGGGGAGUGGAGCGUCGCAUAGUGUAACGGCUCCUUCGAGCGUGCUGGUGUCU
rnacentral:lncRNA from 1 species